rnacentral:ncRNA from 1 species
GAAAAAUUUAAUUUUUAUUUAAAAAUUUAGUGUGUAGUAAUAAAUAUAAAUAAAUUUUUAUUAGAUUAGUAAAUUUAAAUAAUUUAAUUAAAUAUUAAAAGGUUAUAAGUAAAUUGAUUAAAGAUUAAAAAAUUAAUAAAUAGUUAAUUAUAAUAAGAAUGAUUAAGUUAGUGCCAGCAAUCGCGGUUAGACUAAUUUUUUAAUUUUGAUUAAAUUUAGUUUAAUUAGUAAAUAUGGGAAAAAGGAAUAAAAGAAGGAAUAUUAAUAAAUAAAAUUUAAUUUAGUGAAAUAUUUAAGUUUUGAUAGUUUAUAAUUACUUUAUUUAUUGAUUAUAUUUUAAAUAGAUUAUUGUUAGAAAUUAGGAUUAGAUACCCUAUUAUUUUAGAGUAAAUUUUAAAUAAUUAAAAAUUAAAUGUUUUAUCAUUAAAUUUAAAUAAAUUGGCGGCAUAUUAAAUAGUUAGAGGAACUUGUUGAGUAAUUGAUAGUCCACGAGAGGAAAGACUUAAAAAAAUUUUAUAUAUUGUUGUUUAAAAAUUAAGUUUGAUAAUUAUAAUUAAUAAAUUUUAUUAAAAAUUUAAAUUCAAAUCAAAAUGUAGUAUUUUUAAGAUUUAAAUGAGUUACAUUAAUUUAAAGUAAAGAUUAAGUUUAAUUUUUAAAUAUUUAGUUAGAUGGUUAGGAUUUAAUAGUAAAAGUAUAUAAUUUUAUAUUUUGAAAUUAAUUUUAUUAUGUGUACAAAUUGCCCGUCAUUUUCAUAAAUUUUAAAGUGGAAGAAGUCGUAACAAAGUAAGUGUAUAGGAAUAUGUAUUUAGAUUAUU